rnacentral:rRNA from 1 species
UGAAGAGUUUGAUCCUGGCUCAGAUUGAACGCUGGCGGCAUGCCUUACACAUGCAAGUCGAACGGCAGCACGGGAGCUUGCUCCUGGUGGCGAGUGGCGAACGGGUGAGUAAUAUAUCGGAACGUACCCAGUAGUGGGGGAUAGCCCGGCGAAAGCCGGAUUAAUACCGCAUACGAUCUACGGAUGAAAGCGGGGGAUCUUCGGACCUCGCGCUAUUGGAGCGGCCGAUAUCUGAUUAGCUAGUUGGUGAGGUAAGAGCUCACCAAGGCGACGAUCAGUAGCUGGUCUGAGAGGACGACCAGCCACACUGGAACUGAGACACGGUCCAGACUCCUACGGGAGGCAGCAGUGGGGAAUUUUGGACAAUGGGGGCAACCCUGAUCCAGCAAUGCCGCGUGAGUGAAGAAGGCCUUCGGGUUGUAAAGCUCUUUUGUCAGGGAAGAAACGGCGAGCGCUAAUAUCGCUUGCUAAUGACGGUACCUGAAGAAUAAGCACCGGCUAACUACGUGCCAGCAGCCGCGGUAAUACGUAGGGUGCGAGCGUUAAUCGGAAUUACUGGGCGUAAAGCGUGCGCAGGCGGUUGUGCAAGACAGAUGUGAAAUCCCCGGGCUUAACCUGGGAAUUGCAUUUGUGACUGCACGGCUAGAGUGUGUCAGAGGGGGGUAGAAUUCCACGUGUAGCAGUGAAAUGCGUAGAGAUGUGGAGGAAUACCGAUGGCGAAGGCAGCCCCCUGGGAUAACACUGACGCUCAUGCACGAAAGCGUGGGGAGCAAACAGGAUUAGAUACCCUGGUAGUCCACGCCCUAAACGAUGUCAACUAGUUGUCGGGUCUUAAUUGACUUGGUAACGCAGCUAACGCGUGAAGUUGACCGCCUGGGGAGUACGGUCGCAAGAUUAAAACUCAAAGGAAUUGACGGGGACCCGCACAAGCGGUGGAUGAUGUGGAUUAAUUCGAUGCAACGCGAAAAACCUUACCUACCCUUGACAUGUCCGGAAUCCCUGAGAGAUCAGGGAGUGCUCGAAAGAGAAUCGGAACACAGGUGCUGCAUGGCUGUCGUCAGCUCGUGUCGUGAGAUGUUGGGUUAAGUCCCGCAACGAGCGCAACCCUUGUCAUUAGUUGCUACGAAAGGGCACUCUAAUGAGACUGCCGGUGACAAACCGGAGGAAGGUGGGGAUGACGUCAAGUCCUCAUGGCCCUUAUGGGUAGGGCUUCACACGUCAUACAAUGGUACAUACAGAGGGCCGCCAACCCGCGAGGGGGAGCUAAUCCCAGAAAGUGUAUCGUAGUCCGGAUUGCAGUCUGCAACUCGACUGCAUGAAGUUGGAAUCGCUAGUAAUCGCGGAUCAGCAUGUCGCGGUGAAUACGUUCCCGGGUCUUGUACACACCGCCCGUCACACCAUGGGAGCGGGUUUCACCAGAAGUGGGUAGCCUAACCGCAAGGAGGGCGCUCACCACGGUGGGAUUCGUGACUGGGGUGAAGUCGUAACAAGGUAGCCGUAUCGGAAGGUGCGGCUGGAUCACCUCCUUU